GUGGAGGUGAUGAUUAUUUCCCCAAAUGAUCGAAGUUGAAUAUACUGUGCGAAUUAUUGCUCUCUUUAGAGAGAGUUUAAGCCAGAUUUCUGAUCCAU